CGUGUCUCUUCUUCUUGUGUCGUCUGUUUGGCGCUAUAGUACUUCAGCCAUUUAAUGAUGCUCUCUCCACACUGGGAUAAAUAAAAACAAACACAUCACAUCUAAUGUGGACAUAUCAGAUGCCUUGUGAAACACUAAAGGAACAAUUCAGUUUCGAGCUAUGGCACUUGCCGCAUAGAUGUGGGGGGGCCUUGCACCAAUAGUGAUAGUUACCACUGCAUUUAGAAAUUGAAAGCAUUCGUGCAGACAAGGAUGAUUCUUUAUAUUUUUGGCUACCACUUCAAAUGCCUCCACCAAGUGUUACAAUGCUGCAUGCAGCCAUACUAAGGAUCUCGCAACAACACCUGCAGGUAAAAAGCAGAAGCAGUCAAAGUGCUGGUGUGUUCUGGACACUAUGUUUGAAAACUUUUAGGCAAGAAGAGUGCAAGAAGCAGACAUAACUGCAUUUAUUUCCAUAAUUCCCCAUUUAAAUGGCCUUUUCUUUUUGCUUAGACAAUGCCUACGCCUAGCCACAGCAGCUCCCUCAUACAGACUCCACAAACCAAGAGGCCGUGGAGGCAAAUGCAGGCAGCCAGCACACCUCGAACAGCCACCUUGACUGCGGGUGUGUCACCCUAGUCGCCAAGGAAACAUUUGAGGGAAAGUGACAGGCAAUGUGAACAGCCACUUCUCCAUGUAAACAAUACUCUUUCUCUCGGAUGACUCCUACGCCUCACCACGCCAGCACACUUGUGCACAAAGAUGCCGCAGAGGCACGUGCAGGUCAGAGGCAAGAAGCAGUGGCACUGGUGUCGACAUUUACCCAAUUUCUUUUUCUUACACUGAGGCAGCCAGCACACCUCGAACAGCCACCUUGACUGCGGGUGUGUUAGUUGAUUCCUGUUGUACAUAUGCUCAUAAUAAACUUCAGUAAACUUGAACUUCAUAAUAAACUUGAAGGCAAAUGGGA